AUAGUUUGCUAACCCAUCCGCUA
rnacentral:siRNA from 1 species